UGUUGAACUUGUAUAAAAUGUUUAAAAUAUAUUUGAUUAUGCUUCUGACGGCUCCAAAACACUCUUGGCAUGAGUGAUGAGGAGGAGGUGGCAUACACUGAUGGCAUUGCAUUAACGAGAAAGGACUUCAUUACACUUGCUAAUCCUGUAGAAGUUGACGGAAAUUUAAGAAUAUCAUGACAUACUAACAGUUUAACAGUGAAGUACAGUGCUUUGUGGUAUAGUGUCCCUUUUUUCCAAUAGGUGCUGAAUUUUGGGUUUCCAGCUUCUACAAAGAAUAGCUAGUCAACAGAACAUUGACAUCUUUGCUGCUGAUUGCCAUGUGACUCUCACCUGGUUGCCCCCAUAUUCAGCAGACCCCAUGGAUCACCUCCCUGUUGAUGUGAAAAUGCAGGACGCUGUGCUCCUUCCAUCAUGGAAACCAGGUCAUUGGAUGAUAUGUAGAACUUUCUCAGGAGAUAAGUGAGUGUCUGGA
ensembl:lncRNA